rnacentral:rRNA from 1 species
GACGUAGGGCGCAAGCGUUGUCCGGAAUUAUUGGGCGUAAAGAGCUCGUAGGCGGCUUGUCACGUCGGAUGUGAAAGCCCGGGGCUUAACCCCGGGUCUGCAUUCGAUACGGGCUAGCUAGAGUGUGGCAGGGGAGAUCGGAAUUCCUGGUGUAGCGGUGAAAUGCGCAGAUAUCGGGAGGAACACCAGUAGCGAAGGCGGCUCGCUGGGCCACACCUGACGCUGAGACGCGAAAGCUAGGGGAGCGAACAGG